UUCUUAGUCUUUGCAAGGUCGUCGAGAGGGCAUUCACACCUCCGAGGACCCGGCUAUGAACUCCAAGGAGCAGGGCAGUGGGCACAGAGCGCCAGGCCAUGAGGAGCCACAUGUGCCUGGGUCCAGAGCACAGAGCGGGCUGGGGUUCUUCAGAGACCCAGGCUGGGCUGUGGGGCAGCCGACUUGAUGUCCCCCACCCUCGCUUCCACCACAGCCCCAUCAGUCUUCCCGCUGGCCCCCAGCUGUCGGACCACAUCUGGCCCCACAGUGGCCCUGGCCUGCUUGGUCUCUGGCUACUUCCCAGAACCAGUGACCGUGUCCUGGAACUCAGGCGCCCUGACCAGCGGCGUGCACACCUUCCCGUCCGUCCUGCGGUCCUCGGGGCUCUACUCCCUCAGCAGCACGGUGACCGUGCCUGCCAGCAGCUGGCCGAGCCAGACCUUCAUCUGCAACGUAGCCCACCCAGCCAGCAGCACCAAGGUGGACAAGAGAGUCGAGCCCCCACCUCCCAAGCCAGAUGAUCAGCCCAGACCACCCAAGCCAGAAGAUCAGCCCACUCCACCCAAGCAGGAUGAUCAGCCAGACUGCCCCAAGUGUCCCAAAUGCACAGCUCCUGAACUCCCGGGAGGGCCUUCGGUCUUCAUCUUCCCCCCGAAAAUCCAGGACACCCUCACGAUCUCCCGGACGCCCGAGGUCACCUGCGUGGUGGUGGACGUGAGCCAGGACAACCCCGAUGUCCAGUUCACCUGGUACGUGGAUGGCACAGAGGUGAGCACGGCCACGACGAAGCCGAAGGAGGAGCAGUUCAACAGCACCUACCGCGUGGUCAGUGUCCUCCCCAUCCAGCACCAGGACUGGCUGAAGGGAAAGGAGUUCAAGUGUAAGGUCAACAACAGAGCCCUCCCGGCCCCCAUUGAGCGGACCAUCUCCAAGGCCAAAGGGCAGGCCCGGAAGCCGCAGGUGUACGUGCUGCCCCCACACCGGGAGGAGCUGGCUGAGAGCACGGUCAGCGUCACCUGCCUGGUCAAAGACUUCUACCCAUCUGACAUCGACGUCGAGUGGCAGAGCAACAAGCAGACAGAGCCGGAGGACAAGUACAGCACCACCCCACCCCAGCAGGAGGGCGAUGGGUCCUACUUCCUGUACAGCAAGCUCUCGGUGGAGACAAACAGGUGGAAGCAGGGAGACGUGUUCACGUGUGGGGUGAUGCACGAGGCUCUCCACAAACAGUACACGCAGAAAUCCACCUCCCAGUCUCCGGAGGUGGUCCUGGACGAGAGCUGUGUCGAGACCCAGGACGGGGAGCUGGACGGGCUGUGGACCACCAUCUCCAUCUUCAUCAUGCUCUUCCUGCUCAGCGUGUGCUACAGCGCCACCGUCACCCUCUUCAAGGUGAAGUGGAUCUUCUCCUCGGUGGUGGAGAUGAAGGAGACGAUGGUCCCCAACUACGGGAACAUGAUCGGGCAGGGGGCCUAGGGCCACUCCUCCUGGGUGGGCGUCCAAGGCUGGUCCAGACCCCAGACAGGAUCAGGGUCCUUCGGUUCAUUAUGCUCAGCCUGCCACCCAGACCUG